GCGGAGGAAAGAAACCAACAGGGAUUGCCCUAGUAACGGCGAGUGAAGCGGCAACAGCUCAAAUUUGAAAUCUGGCCUCGGCCCGAGUUGUAAUUUGCAGAGGAAGCUUUAGGCGCGGCACCUUUCUGAGUCCCCUGGAACGGGGCGCCAUAGAGGGUGAGAGCCCCGUAUAGUUGGAUGCCUAGCCUGUGUAAAGCUCCUUCGACGAGUCGAGUAGUUUGGGAAUGCUGCUCAAAAUGGGAGGUAAAUUUCUUCUAAAGCUAAAUACCGGCCAGAGACCGAUAGCGCACAAGUAGAGUGAUCGAAAGAUGAAAAGCACUUUGAAAAGAGGGUUAAAAAGCACGUGAAAUUGUUGAAAGGGAAGCGCUUGUGACCAGACUUGCGCCGGGCUGAUCAUCCGGUGUUCUCACCGGUGCACUCGGCCCGGCACAGGCCAGCAUCGGUUCUCGCGGGGGGAUAAAGGUCCCGGGAACGUAGCUCCUCCGGGAGUGUUAUAGCCCGGGGCGUAAUGCCCUCGCGGGGACCGAGGUUCGCGCAUCUGCAAGGAUGCUGGCGUAAUGGUCAUCAGCGACCCGUCUUGAAACACGGACCAAGGAGUCAAGGUUUUGCGCGAGUGUUUGGGUGUCAAACCCGCACGCGUAAUGAAAGUGAACGUAGGUGAGAGCUUCGGCGCAUCAUCGACCGAUCCUGAUGUUUUCGGAUGGAUUUGAGUAGGAGCGUUAAGCCUUGGACCCGAAAGAUGGUGAACUAUGCUUGGAUAGGGUGAAGCCAGAGGAAACUCUGGUGGAGGCUCGCAGCGGUUCUGACGUGCAAAUCGAUCGUCAAAUCUGAGCAUGGGGGCGAAAGA
rnacentral:rRNA from 1 species